rnacentral:rRNA from 1 species
AUUGAACGCUGGCGGCAGGCCUAACACAUGCAAGUCGAGCGGUUGAGGGGAGCUUGCUCCCUGAUUCAGCGGCGGACGGGUGAGUAAUGCCUAGGAAUCUGCCUAUUAGUGGGGGACAACGUUUCGAAAGGAACGCUAAUACCGCAUCCGUCCUACGGGAUAAAGCAGGGGACCUUCGGGCCUUGCGCUAAUAGAUGCGCCUAGGUCGGAUUAGUUUGUUGGUGAGGUAAUGGCUCACCAAGGCGACGAUCCGUAACUGGUCUGAGAGGAUGAUCAGUCACACUGGAACGGAGACACGGUCCAGACUCGUACGGGAGGCAGCAGUGGGGAAUAUUGGACAAUGGGCGAAAGCCUGAUGCAGCCAUGCGGCGUGUGUGAAGAAGGUCUUCGGAUUGUAAAGCACUUUAAGUUGGGAGGAAGGGUUGUAGAUUAAUACUCUGCAAUUUUUACGUUACCGACAGAAUAAGCACCGGCUAACUCUGUGCCAGCCGCCGCGGUAACAC